CGCGUAGGUGGCGCGACAAGUCAGUGGUGAAAGCUCGACGCUCAACGUCGAGUCGGCCACUGAUACUGUUGGGCUUGAGCACUGUAGAGGCUAAUGGAAUUCCGGGUGUAGCGGUGGAAUGCGUAGAGAUCCGGAAGAACACCGGUGGCGAAGGCGGUUAGCUGGGCAGUUGCUGACACUGAGGCGCGACAGCGUGGGGAGCAAACA
rnacentral:rRNA from 1 species